rnacentral:tRNA from 1 species
GCCCGGGUGGCUUAGCUGGUCAUAGCGCCGCACUCAUAGGGUUCAGAGAAUCGGUGCGGCCGCCAUUUGGCGGCUCCCAUGUCCGAGAGGCGCGCCCGAGCCUCGAACCUGGGACAUGCGGAGAUCGAGGGUUCAAAACCCUCCCCGGGCA